CUUAGACGGUCCCAAGCCCGGUUUGAGAAAACAGGAGGGAAGACAGGGGGCUUUGGUAUUUCCAGGGUACGGGCUUGACAACCCCGUCUACCCCAGUUAAAGGCUACCAGUCCUGAGUCGGUGGAGGUUCAACUGGAAGAAGUCUACGGCUUUCGAGAGUCAUACCAAAGACUUUAAAAAUGGUGCCACGGGGAACAGAUGCCCCCGGAGUGUUUUCGUCGGCGAGACGAGCAAAACUGGUGACACAAACAAGGCUUGCAAGGCAGGCAAGGCAAACACUGGCAUGGCUUACACGACUAGAAAAUGGAGAAAAUGGUGAAAAUGGAGAUAAUGGAGAAAACAGUUGUAAUUGGAGGAAAAGUGUGGUGGAAACCGCUGGAAAUGGUGAAAAAGUUGUGCGCAAGUUGAGCAAUUCGAUCCGUUGCGAAAGCUGAGCCGUGUCACCGCUCCUGGAUGUGGAGGGUGCCCACGAGCGAGGCGAGUAGGACGUGUGAGAUGAGCAAGACGGAGCAAGAUGGUGAAU